CACGUAGGGUGCGAGCGUUGUCCGGAAUUAUUGGCGUAAAGAGCUCGUAGGCGGUGUGUCGCGUCGGCCGUGAAAACCUGCAGCUUAACUGUGGGCGUGCGGUCGAUACGGGCAUCACUGGAGUUCGGCAGGGGAGACUGGAAUUCCUGGUGUAGCGGUGAAAUGCGCAGAUAUCAGGAGGAACACCAGCGGCGAAGGCGGCGCUCUGGGCCGGUAACUGACACUGGAGGAGCGAAAAGCCGUGGGGGAUCAAAACAGG
rnacentral:rRNA from 1 species